CCCUAGCCUCAAUCCACAGCCGCCAUGCCCUCACUCCUCCUCCUCGCUACCACUCCCUUCCUGCUCCUCCUCGCGGCCGCACUCUCUCCCUCCUCACCACGGCACCCAUAGGCGGCUCCCUCCUCACCAUGGCCCCACCAUAGGCGGCUCAUGCGGUGGUGGAACGGACGGCGGCCUCAGCGUGUGGGCGGCGGCGGCGGCGUAUCUGGUGAACGAGCCCGCACCUCCCUGCCCUCCUCAUCACCACCCCUUCCCUCCUCGGCUUAAUGGGAGGUUCGCCGGGCAUGCCGCCUCUUCUGCCCAGCAGGACGAGCACGAGGUACACAUGAAUCUAUGAUCCAGAUUCUAGCUACACCCUUUACUACAACGAUCUCAAGCUUUACUGAAAAGUGUACUGUUUAUAUAGUUGAUAUCUUUAAUUCAUAUGGUCGUCCGCUGGAUGAUCACUGGUGUUCGGUUCAUACGGUGACUGGCUAGAAGCUUGCUGUUAUGUUUGGUUCAUAUGGUGGUCGACUGGAAGCUCGCAGUCUGAAUGAUCUCAUUGUCUAUGGCCGCCAAUACACACUUUUCAUUACUACCAGCCAGGUCUUCUCAGAGUGAUUGAAUAAAUUCCAUUCCUUUGUGCUGCAUUUUACCUUCCAUGGUUUUUGCUCAAAAUGGCAUAAUAUGCCACUUGCACCACCAUUGGUCUUUGAAAUUUAGUUACUCCAGUUUUUCAUAGAUAACAAUUGUGUAGCCUUUGUCCUUUCCAGUUACCAUUACCAUUUUUGUGAUGAUACUUCACUAGAAAUUUGUUUGGUACUCAUCUAAAAAUAGAUUCAUAAUGAGGUCACUUUUGCAAUGCAUGGGAGUAAAGUUUUUUUCGCAUCCGCGGUUAUAUAUGUUUAGUCAUUUGUAUUGAAAAGUCAGUGCAUCUUGGUUGUUUCUGUAGUUGAUCCAGGAGGUUCUUGGUUGCUUGGUAUUUUUGCUACAUGUGCAGUACUAUAAUAUGCCAACCCAUAUAAACGAUGAAGUAUAUUCUGUUUCGUAGAUGAGCAAAGUUUGCGGCAUGCAUAGUAUAUAUAUGUUUUCUUAUAAAUAUAUGUAUGCCAUUAACUGCUAUCAUUUCGUUUUAUAGGGGUUCAUGGGCCAUCAUGAUGAUAUACUUGGUUCUUUAAAGAAGAAUGGUAAGAACUAAGGAGGGUUGUCUUGUCCAAGAGCUCUACCGCGAUGGCAUCGCCACUCAGUGAUGCCUCAGCAGGAAGGCUAAUCGCGGGGAGGCGUGACAUGGGUGGACUAAAAAGCUAAUUUGGAGGCCCCCCUGUCUGCUGUCAAAUGUGGAACGCCUUUAUGUCCUGAUCAUGUGAAAAGCAUGUGUGUGAAAGCGGGGACAGGUGACCACGAGCAGAUGGCGUGAGCGGCAACGGCAACAUGCACGGUGCACAAAGUUCGAAGGUAUGCCUCGGAGCACGCCGGCGGCAACAUGCACUGCGAGGCCCAAAGCAACCCAGCCAGUACAGAGCCCCUCCGUACAGGAGGAACCCUGCCACCGACGGAGCAAGCAACGGCGACGCGUAUGAGAGCUCAGCCAUGGUGGCCCGCGCGCCGUACGGGAGGAUCACGUUCGUGCUAGAGGGAAGCAACGAGCACAUCGGCGGCAAAAGGAGGUGUCCAGGAUCUGCACCGACACAAGGUGUCUCCGCAUAGCAGCAUGUGUGCGGCGGCGUGGACAGGUAACCACAUGCAGAUUUUGAGGAGCGGCACGAGCAUCAAGCAAUGGUUGAUGCCAAGGUGAGCUUCCCCUCCGCUCCUGACCGCUCCCUCUCUCUCUCUCAAUAAUCUCCUCCUGAUGUCGCUAUUUAUGCAUCUCGAUAUGUUAUUGGUGUUCUUCUGAUUUGCAGGGAUUAUAGCAAGCAACUCUAGGUGGGUGAGUUCUUUCUUCUUGCAUGAAAUUGUUCUACUGAUUCCUCAAUGCUCUGUUCAUGACUUUGUUCUUGUUUUAUCCUUUUUUUACUUUCCAAUUUCUAUGCAAUGGAUAUUGAUUGUGGUAGUUUAGAUAGCACCUUGUAUUGCUUUGGUUUUAAUAAAGUAAACUAGAGCAGUGGUAUGUGCAUGUUCAAAUAAUAAUGGAAAAUAUUGUUUUUUUCGUGCUACAAAAUAUAUCUCAAAACCUUCCCCAUUUUUGUUUCUAGAGGACAAAGGACAUCUUGCAUUAGUUAGCUUUUUUUACAGUUCCUAUUCAUUGAACUGUAUGCAGUUUUCAGCUAGACCUCAUUUCACAGUUCCUAAUGCUUUUCUUUUUCUCUCUGGACUUGCAAAGUGAUUUUCAUCUGUUUUUUCUUUGCGUUGUGCUCAGGUAGUGUUCAUUACUAAGUUCAAAGUGUGCUCAGAUUAUCUAUCAGAUUGUGAAAUUCACUUUUUUUAUAAGCCUGUCCUUAGGUACACUGGAGAGAUAAAGUUCAAUCAACAGUACAAACUUCUAUUGAUUAGGUUCAUUGUUAAGUUCAGAUAUAAUUAUGUGUCUUGAAUUCUUGUUAUUUUCCAUUUCUUAUAGGAAAUAAAUCAUCAGUGGCAUACUUUGUUUGCCAUAUUGUUUUGGUUAUAGAUUUAAAGUGACCUUAACCCAAACAUCUGAAAAUGAAAUUAAAGUAUGUACAGAGAGAAUGUGUAGGCAUGAACUCCGGUAUGCCUAUUGUGAGUGAGACCGCUUUUACUUUGCUUCAAAUAUAGUAGAUGCGGGGAAUGGUGCUCUUACAUACAACCUUCAGAGAUGUAUAUGUAGCCAUUUCCUCUGUACAAAGGAAUGGUAUUUUAGUUGGUUGUGAGUUUCAUUGCUGGAGAGGACCGAUGAUCUUCGUUUGCAAGUAUAUCUUCAGGUACCUAUGUAUUAUUCUCAUGCUCCCCUUGUUUGGGCGAUCUACCUAGUCUAUGCAUGGACAUGUAGUAUUGCCAUGUUCUCCUUGUUCAUGCAUCAUCCAACCUUGCUACAAAUUGAUGUUCUGUUGCUCUACGUACUGGUGUUAUAGACUGCCAUUUGUUUUGUCGAACAGUGUGCCAAACUGAUUUUCCAUUACUCUAUGUACUGGUGUUACAGACUACUAUUUGUUUUGUCUGGUUAGUGAGUAAUUCAUUUGGUUAUGCCCUUUUCCUUUUUCAGCUAUCAUUUGCCAACCUCUUCAUUAUCUAACUAUAUACAUGUGUUGACAUAUGCGGUCAUCGGGGGCGGCUGUAUUAUCUAACAAUUUUGGUUGAAGACUCCUGGGAUUUACCAUUGCGAAAUCAUGUGAUAAGAGGUGUUCCAGGAAUUCUUUUGAAAAGCAUGUGUAUACAGGCCAUGUGACUCACUAUCAUUUUUUGUCUUUGUGAUUUGCUGAAAAGUUCUUAGAAUGUUUGAUUGGUUUCAACUCAGAUGAAGUUGUUAGGAUGAUUAGGUUGUAGCUUCUGGGAAAUGUAAUGGAUUCAGAUAGAUU